GUGCCGCAGCUAACGCAAUAAGUAUCCCACCUGGGGAGUACGAUCGCAAGGUUGAAACUCAAAGGAAUUGACGGGGGCCCGCACAAGCGGUGGAGUAUGUGGUUUAAUUCGAAGCAACGCGAAGAACCUUACCAGGGCUUGACAUCCCGGUGACCGGCCUAGAGAUAGGCUUUUCCUUCGGGACACCGGUGACAGGUGGUGCAUGGUUGUCGUCAGCUCGUGUCGUGAGAUGUUGGGUUAAGUCCCGCAACGAGCGCAACCCUUAUUGUUAGUUGCUACGCAAGAGCACUCUAACGAGACUGCCGUUGACAAAACGGAGGAAGGUGGGGACGACGUCAAAUCAUCAUGCCCCUUAUGUCCUGGGCCACACACGUACUACAAUGGCGGUCAACAAAGAGAGGCAAAGCCGCGAGGCAGAGCGAAUCUCAAAAAGCCGUCCCAGUUCGGAUUGCAGGCUGCAACCCGCCUGCAUGAAGUUGGAAUCGCUAGUAAUCGCGGAUCAGCAUGCCGCGGUGAAUACGUUCCCGGGCCUUGCACUCACCGCCCGUC
rnacentral:rRNA from 1 species